rnacentral:rRNA from 1 species
GAGUUUGAUCAUGGCUCAGAUUGAACGCUGGCGGCAGGCUUAACACAUGCAAGUCGAACGGUAACAGAACUAGCUUGCUAGUUGCUGACGAGUGGCGGACGGGUGAGUAACGCGUAGGAAUCUACCGAGUAGUGGGGGACAACAGUUGGAAACGACUGCUAAUACCGCAUAAUCCCUGAGGGGGAAAGGAGGGGAUCUGUUUACAGACCUUUCGCUAUUUGAUGAGCCUGCGUGAGAUUAGCUAGUUGGUGAGGUAAUGGCUCACCAAGGCGACGAUCUCUAGCUGGUCUGAGAGGAUGAUCAGCCACACUGGAACUGAGACACGGUCCAGACUCCUACGGGAGGCAGCAGUGGGGAAUAUUGCACAAUGGGGGAAACCCUGAUGCAGCCAUGCCGCGUGUGUGAAGAAGGCCUUCGGGUUGUAAAGCACUUUCAGCGAGGAGGAAAGGAGUAUGUUUAAUACACGUGCUCUGUGACGUUACUCGCAGAAGAAGCACCGGCUAACUCCGUGCCAGCAGCCGCGGUAAUACGGAAGGUGCAAGCGUUAAUCGGAAUUACUGGGCGUAAAGCGCGCGUAGGUGGUUUGUUAAGUUGGAUGUGAAAGCCCUGGGCUCAACCUAGGAACUGCAUCCAAAACUAACUCGCUAGAGUACGAUAGAGGGAGGUAGAAUUCAUAGUGUAGCGGUGGAAUGCGUAGAUAUUAUGAAGAAUACCAGUGGCGAAGGCGGCCUCCUGGAUCUGUACUGACACUGAGGUGCGAAAGCGUGGGUAGCGAACAGGAUUAGAUACCCUGGUAGUCCACGCCGUAAACGAUGACAACUAGCUGUUAGGAGACUAUGUCUUUUAGUGGCGCAGCUAACGUUUUAAGUUGUCCGCCUGGGGAGUACGGCCGCAAGGCUAAAACUCAAAUGAAUUGACGGGGACCCGCACAAGCAGUGGAUCAUGUGGUUUAAUUCGAUGCAACGCGAAAAACCUUACCUACUCUUGACAUACUUGGAAGCUCUUGUAAUGAGAGUGUGCUUUUAAGAACCAAGAUACAGGUGCUGCAUGGCUGUCGUCAGCUCGUGUCGUGAGAUGUUCCGUUAAGUCGGAUAACGAGCGCAACCCUUACCCUUAUUUGCCAGCGAUUCGGUCGGGAACUAUAAGGGGACUGCCGGUGAUAAACCGGAGGAAGGUGAGGACGACGUCAAGUCAUCAUGGCCCUUACGAGUAGGGCUACACACGUGAUACAAUGGGAGAGACAGACGGACGCUAAGCCGCGAGGUGGUGCUAAUCCUAGAAAACGUUUCGUAGUCCGGAUCGAAGUCUGCAACUCGACUUCGUGAAGUCGGAAUCGCUAGUAAUCGCGAAUCAGCAUGUCGCGGUGAAUACGUUCCCGGGCCUUGUACACACCGCCCGUCACACCAUGGGAGUGGGUUGCAAAAGAAGUGGCUAGUCUAACCUUCGGGGGGACGGUCACCACUUUGUGAUUCAUGACUGGGGUGAAGUCGUAACAAGGUAACC